rnacentral:rRNA from 1 species
UACGUAGGGGGCAAGCGUUGUCCGGAAUUAUUGGGCGUAAAGCGCGCGCAGGCGGCCUUGUAAGUCUGGUGUUUAAGCUCGGGGCUCAACCCCGAUACGCACCGGAAACUGCAAAGCUAGAGUCCGGAAGAGGAGAGUGGAAUUCCCGGUGUAGCGGUGAAAUGCGCAGAUAUCGGGAAGAACACCUAUGGCGAAGGCAGCUCUCUGGGACGGUACUGACGCUGAGACGCGAAAGCGUGGGGAGCGAACAGG